GAAGCUUAAAAGAGUUAGUCAAUGGAUUUAUACCUAACGCAGAGCCAUACGUUUUGACUAUCCCAUCUCUUAGAUUUCUUAAGUAAAUAGGUUAGCUUCGUCUCCAAAUGCCCCUUCUCUUGGCAAUAAAAGCAAAUGGACUCUUUAGGAACAGGACAUGGAACUACUUCAGACAUUGCCUUUCUCUUAUGAUCAAACUUUUCGAUCAUAGCAUGUCUUUCGUUGCCAUUGUCUAUAUCCAUAGAGGUCUUGAAGGCGGAUUCACCAAUCAACAUUGCUUUUCUAUUGCGCCAAACCAUUGCUGAUUCAGCAGCAAUAAGCAUAUAGGUGAGAUCUAUAAGGGUCACGUCGCGGUUCAUCAUAUAGUACUCUCUUACGAACUCACUAUAUGAGUUAGGAAGUGACUGAAGAACCCAAUCAACAGCCAUUUCCUCACAGACAACGGAUCCCAACAUUCUUAACCUAUCAAUGUGUGACUUCAUCCCUAGGACGUGUGCACACACCGACUUUCCUUCUUUAUGUUUACUUGCCAAAAGGGAUUGAGUGAGCUUGAACUUUUCAAGCCUUCGAACUUGUGGGUUAGGGAGAAUAAUUGGAGGAGGUGGAGGAAGUGAAGCAUGAUUUCUUGUUCCUCGAUCGAAUCGUGGAAUAUCAUCUUCAUGUGGAAUGCUUGUUCCACGGGAUUUGGGAAGACCAUAGUUGUCGAACUUUGACAUCUACAAAACGGGAGAAAACGAAUUCAAGUUAGUUGAUUGAUUGAGUCCUUAGUAAAUCACCCAAAUGAGAUACUAAGGCUAGGACCCAACACAAUAUUCUACAACUCGGGAGAGGGAUGCCGUAACCCUAAUUGCAGAAUAUUUGAAGGUAAGUGAAUGACGAUUCACUAAUUUCCACCAUGAAAAACGAAAAAGAAAUUUAAGUUUUAAAUCUAUGAAAAGUCCUAGAUCCUUUGAGAUUCAUUGAACAUUUCAAUGGCAUGUUUAAAUCUCGAUAUGCCCCUCUUGUUUGUGACUGGGAUGCCAAGGAUUAAAAUCAUUCCGUCAAAUUCGCCAAAAUGUAAGUGUUUUCUUCCUAGAUUCGUUCAUAUAACACUUAAUCUAGUGUUUUCACACGAUUUCAUCCAUGAAAUCUUGCCUUUUUCUUAGAUCUUCAAGUGAUGUUCAAAGCACCAAGAACACAUUUGUGUUUUGGGGGCUCUAAUCACUCUUACAAGCUUCAUAUAAGUAAGUGUACCCUCCCUAACUAGUUAUUUGGUUAGUGUGCUUGUAAUCCAUAAGAGAAAUCACCAAAAAUCUCCAAGAACAUGGGUUUACGGUUUGGGAAUCUCCCAAAAUCGUAAACACCCCCCAAAGGGUGUUUUGAAGCCUCUAACACCUUCUAAUGCUUGGACAAAAGGCUAGAAACUUGCAUGCUUGGUCUAUGAACCACAAAUCACGAAAUGGUUGGAGUAACCAUGAGUUUACGGCAGUAAACUCAUGGGUUUACGGUAGUAAACUCCCAAAGAUGGUCCAAGGACCGUAAACUCCAAAAAGUGUGCCAUUUCGAGCCCUAACCACUUCCUAAGCCUUUGACUAAACCCUAGAGAACUCCUUUGUGAAACAUGAGACAUUGAAGCACACAAACACACCAUUCCCAUGAUUUUACGGUCGUAAACUCAUGGGGGAAGUGGUCCAGAAACCGUAAACACCCCUAAGGGCCACCAUUUGAGGAGUAAACUCCAAUGUGAGGCCAUACUCUCUUUAUAUGCAACCCUUGGUACUCCUAGCACUUGUGUUAAAGUGUUUUCAUGUAUUAGGAUGUCUUUACUUGCAUAAUUAGUCAUUAAAUGACUGAUUUGAUACUUAAAUGUAUCAUUACAUGUUAAAUAGGAUUCGCGUGUGUGGUCAAGUCCUCACUUGACACUUAGCAUCCUAUAUCGUCCGUUCAUCCGAAUCACCCACGUCAAGUGAGUUCAUACCCCUUCAUCAACCUUUAAAAUGAUUUUAAAUGCUUUCAUGGGGGGAAUACAAGUUGAACUACUAAGUUAUUAUAUCAAUCACAUGUGAUUAAUAACUGACUAGCAAAUAGAUUUUCUGCAUGUUAAACCGUUUAUCCAGCUAAAGGUUUUCAAAUCUUGUUCUCAAAUCUCUUUUAAAGUAUAAAAAUCCCUUUAUAGUUUAAUAAAUUCUUAUUUAUAAGUNUUAUAGUUUAUAAAUUCUUAUUUAUAAGUUUUCCAAAGGUUUUACCAAAACUUCUUUUAUAGUCUUGUAUUGUUAAAUGCAUGCCUGUAUAUGUAUACUUAUAUAAGUAAUGUUUAAAGGAAUUAGGAAGGCUAACUCACCUUAAUUCCUUUUCCUUGUUUGGAUGUGGCUUUAGGUUAACGGUUAUCCGUCCGAUGGCCGUUUAAAUAUUAUUAAUAUAUAUCAGGUAUACAUAUAUGAUCAUAAAUGUUCUCUCAGCAGAUUCAUCACCUUUGGGUAGAAAAGGCAUCUAGAUGACCUCUCAAGUAAACUAUAAUAGGUAUAGUUCAGAAACCCACUAUAACAUUCAUGAAGGAGAACUUAGUUAUAUCUACACUCUAAAAUGUAUACUCUCUAGUAAAAAGAAAGGUUUAUAGAAAUUAAAAUACGAGAUGCAUCCUCAUGACGCGGAUUUCGCCGUUGUCAAGUUGGUAACCAGAGUCUCCUGGAAGGAGAGCGGGCAUUGUGUGUAUAGAUCUAUACGGGACAGACACUCCCACAUCCUGACUGCUAGCUAUAGUUCCGGCCGACUAAGCCAAGGGAUAACAAAUGUCACAUUCACUCUGAUGCCAGCAGGUCGUCAAAGUAUUCGAUUGUCAAUCAGUACGGUUACAAGUAUCUCUAGAGUAACCUUAUAAUUCAUGGCUUUAAGGUAAUAAGUAUAAUCAUGGUAUUUUUCUAUAUAUAAACUAAACCUUAUAAAUAUACCUUCCUAGUUAUACACUAGGCCACAUUUUAAAUCUUUAAAUAAACUAAUUAGGAUUAAAGAUUCUUUUUAUAGACUUUGCAACGCAUAUUGGCUCAUUUAAUACCAUCCUGGAGUCUGUAUUUUAUUCUUUUAGACCCUCCGAGGCGUGUUGUUCAUUCAACACCACCCUGGGGUCUGUAUUUGAUCCUUUUAGACUUUGCUACGCGUAUUGUUCCCUUAAUAUUUCCUGGAGUCUGUAUUUUAUUCUUUCAGACCCUCCGAGGCGUGCUGUUCAUUCAACACAACCCUGGGGUCUGUAUUUGAUCCUUUUAGACUUUGCUAUGCAUAUUGUUCCCUUAAUACUCCCUGGAGUAUGUAUUUCAUCCUUUUAGACUCUCUGAGGCGUAUUGUUCACUUAAUACUUCCUGGAGUCUAUUUUUUAUUUACUUUUAGCCAGCAACGUUACUACUGAGAUAAAAUAUUAUUUUCCUAUUACGUUUGCUUUUGAUCUUCUCACAUAAUCUUUUAAAGUAUAAACUAUAUUUUGAUAAUGAUAGUACUUUUGGGAAAAUUACUCCUUAAACAUGAAACAAUUGAGUCUUGGUAGAAGACUGUUUUAGUAGAGAUACUCCUUGAUUUAAAGAUAAAAACAAUUGGGUCUUGGUAGAAGACUACUUUUUAUUAGAAAAUAUGGGAUUUUUCUGGAAAGAAUUCUAAUACUCUGUAAAUCCUAACCACUACCUUUCAUGUGAUUAUUUUGAAGGAAAACAUGUAUUUAUAACCAAUGUCAUUAAAUACUUAUGAACUCACCAACAUUAAAAUGCUGAUACUCACUUUCAAAAUAACUUGUAUUCUCAGGUCAUCAGUAGACAGGUACACUCCGGGAGCUUUUGUGAAGACAGCUUAGUACCGAGCUGCAUCAUAAGUUAUUUUCUGUAUUUACCAUGUUGUUGUUGCUAAAUGUAACCUAUGUAAAACUAUUACUAUUAAUGCAAUGGUUGUUGUACUUUGAUUACCAUACUGCAUAUGUUGUGAUACUUGACAUGACGUCCUCCACACCAUAACGUAUUACGCCAUUCUCGGUUUUGGGGUGUGACAGUCUUUAGAGGACCAAUUGUGACAUGGUUUCUUAAUCAUUAAAAUGUGCACAAAACAUGAUACUAAAGUACUCUCCCGUCUUUUUAUAUUUGAGAAACUUUUAUCCUUCUGCCUAAUUUGAUUCUUUUCAUCCGUCCUACCAUACACUGAAAUUUUUUCAAUGUUUCAGAAUUAUACUUAAACUUGUAAGUAUAACCAUGUUUACUAAACCUUAGUAAAUCAUGAUGAAUAUUCUUAUCAACUUUUUGUGGUGGACCUUGAUCAGUACACAAGAAUGUGUACUUGAUCCCUUAGUCCUUCACUUGACUCACAUAUACAUGUGAACAAAGAACUAGUCUUGAUUUUUCCAAAGCUGAAAGUUCUCAUUCAUCAUAUUGUACAACUUGUAUGAUUCCAAGUUUCUAUCCAACUGAAAACUUGGGUGAUGAGAAGCUUUCCUUAUUUGGUAAAUUUAGACACUACCUCAAACGAAAGAAUCAAAUUUACAUUUCCAAUAUUGCUAGAAACAUAUAAAGAUCAAUUUUCAAUAAAAGUCAUUGCAAGGAGAUAUAAACUAAAAUAAAGAAAAUUUAAUUUAUUUAUAAAGAUGCAGAAAAACUCUUCCUUACAAUGCAACUUGAAAUGAAAAACUAUGCUAUUACAUGUUCUCUAGCAAUCUAUCAUAACCCCUAAGUAGUAGCUCAAAAAUCUGAUCUUCAACCAUGCGAUAGAAAUCCAUCUUCGCGAACAGAUUCAGCAUACUCUUUCUUUAAGUUUCUUUUCCUUUGCUUGAUCAUGCCAAACAUCAAAAUGUAACUUAGUCACAUCAUGUAUUAAUAAGCAACAAUUAGGAACUUAACAGAGUUAAAUAGUGGACUUAUCUGAAUCAUAGUCAAACUAUUUGAUUCCUUUCAGAUUUUUCAGGUAGCUAGGGCAGCUUUGCUUCCAAUGCCCUUUUUCUUCACAAUGAAAACAUAUAGACUCCUCGGGAUGGUACAAAAGGCUAUUCCAGACUUAGGUUUUCUCUUUACCUUUCGGUCAACUGGGUUGACCAAGGCCGAUCCCUUUCCAUUGGGAAGAGAAAGCUUUUCUGGACUUCCAAUGUUAUCAUUGUCCAUGUCCAUGAAAGUUUGAGAAGUAGACCUUCCACCCAUAUUUGCUUGACUAUUGCGCCACAUCAUUACUAAUUCAGCAGCAAUAAGCAAAUAAAAAACAUCCAAUAGGGUCAUGUCGAGAUCUGUCACAUAGUCGUCUUUAAUAAAAUUACUAUAUGACUCAAGAAGUGACUAAAGGACCCAGUCAAAAGCCAACUUCCUUGGGACAAUGACACCCAACAUUCUCAACCUGUGAAUGUGUGACUUCAUUCCUAUGACAUGAGUGCACACAUGUCUUCCAUCUUCAUGUUUCAUUGCUAGUAGGGCUUGAGUUACCUUGAAUUUUUCAAUUCUUUGAGCUUGUGGGUCAGGGAGAAUAAUUAGAGGAGGAGGAGGAACAUAAGUAUGAUUUCCAUGAGCCAAACUCAAGAAGUCAUCUUCAUUAGGAAAGCUUGUUUCAUAAGAUUUGGGAAGAUCAUUGUUGUCUGAACCAGACAUCUAAAAUGGGAGAAAUUCAAGUUAGUUUAUUUAAAUCCUUAAUAUAACACGCAAUAUGAAAUAUUAAGGUUAGUACCCAACACAAUCUUUUAUAACUUGGAAGAGGGAUGUCGUAAUCCAGGCUAUAAAAUAUUUGAAGGUAGGUGAAUGAUUAUUCACCAAUUUCCACCAUGAAAAACGAAAUAAAUUAUUAGGUUUUAAUGGGAUUUGAAACUCCUAGAUCUUUUGAGAUUCAUUGAACUUUCAAUGGCAUGUUUCAAUCUCGAGUGUGCCCUUCAGGUUUUGUGACUGGGAUGCCAAGGAUCAGAAAACAAGGUGUGAAGUAACCAUGCAAAUUACUUGGUACCCUUAAUAUUUACCCCUCAAUCGAUGUGUCGGUUAACCACACACGCUCAACCGAUACUAUGAUAAACAUUAAGUUACCCUUUGCCUACCUUGUUAAAUCAAGCUAGUGUGUCGAUUAACCAAAAACGCUUCAUUAACCGACUUAAGCAAAGUGCAAAGUGUAAUUUCAUGGAUUAGCACCGUAUUCACAUUUUCCUAAAGUAACUAAGAUUAGGAAUUAUAAAAACAUUUAGUUACUUUAUAUUUCUCAUUAGUACUUUUAAUGAAGGGAGAAUUAUAGUCAUUGUCCUACCCGUUCGGCUAACGACCCUCCACCAGUCAAGGAAGCGGUGGGUGAGAGUGAACACCCAUUAAACUGCCAUUUUAUAGGCAGUAACCUUAUAGACCGGCUUCGUGAAUGAGGCCUACUAAUGGUAAGACGACUUGCUGNUAGACCGGCUUCGUGAAUGAGGCGUACUAGCGGUAAGACUGACUUUACUCUUAUACAUAUAUAUAUUAUUAACUUAUAAUAUUAUAAAGUAUAAGGGUUGAAUUUUAACUUUUAAAAUUCUAAGGGCUAGAUGGAAUUAAAGUAUUCAUAAGCGAAAACUUUUUCAAAUUACAAAACUUGAGGGCAAGUUUUGAAACUAUUCAAAACUAAUUAAUUCCAUAACUUAUGUGUUUAAAGUAGUUUUAAUCCAAAAACUCUUCAAGUUCCAUAACUUGAGGACAAGUUAUGGAAGACUUUAAACUAGUAAAAGAACUAACUUUUUCUUUAUUUUAUAACUUAUGGAUUUAAUUAUGGUUACAUAUUUUUCUUUUAAUGAAGUGACUCUUGAACUUCCAUAACUUGAGGACAAGUUAUGGAGUCAUAAAAAUUAUUCAAUGACACAAGACUCUUCAUUUUGUAACCAUUGCCAACUCUUAUGAAUUUUAUGAGUCUUUAAUGUGACUCUUCAUGUAACUUGAGGACAAGUUACACAAACACAUUUUAUACUCAACUCUUAGAUUAAAAUGGAUUGAAAACAACUAUUNUUGAAAAACAGCUUAGGGUAAUGUUCCUAGUCCAAUUCCAGCCAAAAAGUCGAAGAUAUGAUGUUCGGGGGUCCAACUCGUCGAGUGCACGAACCAACUCGACGAGUUGGAUGCAUUUUUCCUUGGACUCGUCGAGUCCCUCCAAGGACUCGGCGAGUCUGCUGUCCAGACAGCAUACAAACUUCGAUUUUUAGCCAAUUUUGCAAGUAUAACAAGAAAACAAGCCUAGGCUCUGAUACCAUUGUUGGGUUUUGAGCAUUCUAACACUCCUAUGGUGUACAUGCAACCCUAGAAACCUUGGAUCUAUUUUUUAUCUAUGAUACAUGCAAAAUUGAUUUUUCCAAGGUUCUUAACCUAUCUAGCAUACAAGAGAACUCUUAAUCAUAAAAGAUAGUAAGAAAACAUACCUUGUAGUGCUUUGGAUUCCUUUCAGAAACUUGUGAGCCUAGCACCCCAAGUGUGAUGCCUCAAAUGUCUCACACAACACCAAAUGCACUUGGAAUAAACCUUGAGAGAAAUGUCACACUCUUGAAAUCGGUUAGCCCUCUUCUUACUUGCUUAAAAACUGAUUUUGGUGAUCAACAUAUUGCUUAUAUAGUGUGUCAUAAUUAGGGUUACACCAUGUAAACCCUAAUUUGACAUGGCUCUUCAUUUCCAUGAUCCAUGGGUUCAAAGACACCAUGGAGCAUCCUAUGGGUUUUAGCCCAACUUGAUAAUCCAUGGAGCAGAAGCCCACUAUACAAGUAUGGAUGAUUUACACAAUCAACCCGUAUAUUUAAUUAGUCUUCUUUUGAUCACUUAAUUAAUUCUUAAUCAAUACUAAGUAAAUAAUCCUAUUAAUAUAUUAGAACUUAUAAUAUAUUAAUAAACCAUAAGUGUUAUUUCUCUCAUUUUAGUCUAUCCAAAUGCAUGAUGCCAUGCAACCCAAAUGGACCAUGCUGAUCGGGUCAAGUACAUCCCAGAAUAGUUAUGAACUUAGACACCUAAUCCAACAUAAACUCUCGUUAUCCCAUGAUGACCGUCGUUUGACUGACAAGCUAGGGGUGUAGGGUCCAACACCUCACCGAAAACGAGUAAUGGAAAACGAGCACUGAUGUGGCCCUCUUGUCUGCAAUGGAAACAAUUCCGUGAAGUCUGCCUGCAAUUACUACCCAAAUGACCCUCACCGCCACAUCUGAGACAUACAAUAGGUCGAAACCUUCCAUUAUGAAACUUCCUGCACCCGCUACACUUGAAACUCCUCCCCUUAGCUGAUCAUGAACCUGGGUAGGCAGACUUAACCCACUUGGCCGCCAAUUCAUAUUGUCUUGAAGUUGUUCCCUCAUCCUUCUGAUGAAUCUCCAACUCAAUCUCCCUCCUCCUGGCGCUUGACUACAUCUCGGUCAAGGUCUGGUGCUGCUGAGUAGAUAAAAACUCUCGAAUCUCCGUCUUGAUCAUACUCAAGUAUCACGACAUAUGUGCCUGCUCUGAAGCGGCGUACUCAGGGUAAAAAAGAGCUCUAUCCAUCAACUUCUUGGUGAUCUCCGUCAGCAACUCAGUUGUCUUCUCGAGCAACAGAUACUCCUGUUACAGUCGCUCAUGCUCCACAAGACAAACAUACUCCACUCGGAAAGUAUCCAGAAACUUCUCCCAAGUCACUGCUGCUCGCUCGGCGUACGAAAAUCUCUAGGUCACAAACUCCCACCAAUCCUUCGCACCCUAACGAAGAAGAUUCAACGAAAAUUUCACAUUCUAUCCAUCGAGACAUGAACAUGUGAAGAAACAUACCUCCACUUCAUAAAUCCAUCUCAAAGCGAUGAUCAGGUCCCUAUCGCCUCUAAACUCUGGAAGCUUCGUUUAACUAAACUCUCGGUAAUGCAUCACCUCGCCUUCCUGAAAUCUUGCAAUGGCGAAGACUGUUGUGGCUGCGGCAGUAGCUAUCUGCAUGACGGAGGCAUAACUCCAGUGAAACUCCUCAAUCAACGUGGUCUUGAUUGACCCAAACAACUCCGAAAUCACCUCCCUGUACACCUCGGCCACUUCGGCAACAAUGAUCUCGUGGAUUUCCUCCUCACCCAUACCUGCUCUCGCAGUGCAUCAACUCCUAAUCCUGAACCUUCAAAAGUCGCCAUACUUAAAAUACACCAUGGAAAGAUCAAUCAUCAAAACAUUAUGCUCAAUACACCAUGCUACCCCCUAUUAGUUCCUUAGUAACCUCAAGAUUACUCCCAAAUCUCAUACAUAUCCUAUGCUUUCAAUAGUACGGGCCCAUACUACCUUCCACACCUAUCCGUAGUUGAUUCAGAAUUCAUCCCAAGAUUCUAAGUCACUGUACUAUACCACUCCUAGGUUUUUCUAACACCUACUUCUCCUACAAUCUACACCUAACUUCCUAGGACCAUCCCCGCCCCCGCACUACUGGUUGCUUUUAUGCACGCUUGUUAUACACAAUACCGGGUCAGAUAGACUGUCGAAUAAUCGACUCUGCCCUAAGUCCACAACUAAAAAUGGAAUAGGAAGUAAGGCUAAUUCAAUCAUUCUAAUGCUAUUUAAUCCCAACCAUAUAAAACUAAUCAACAUACACGUAGCAAUUAAAAAAUCAAUUAACAUAUAGCCUUACUUCCUGGUUGCUUUUGUGCAUUCUUGUUGUACACAAUAUGAGGUCAGAUAGACUAAUGAAUAAUUGACUAUACCCUAAGUCCACAACUAAACAAGGAACAAUAGGUAAGGCUAAUUCAAUCAUUCUAAGGCUAUUUAAUCCCAACCAUAUACAACUAAUCAACAUACAUGUAAUAAUCACAAAAAAGUAACAUAUAGCAAGCAAUUCCCUAUAUCAUAAGGCAUUAUUAAAUCAGGCACUUCUAUCCAACAGUUCCUAAAAGAACCUUAGCUUAUCCACUAGCAUGCUUUUUUAACAGUUUACUUAUAAAAAAAAUCAAAAGCUUAGCACAUAUAACAAGUAUGGAUAUUUUUGGGACCACUUUCAUGUUCGGGCUAUGGCUGACUGUACACACCGCGUAUUCCUGUAAACCAAAGUUAAGUUAAUGUUCACAUUCCCGAUCCCAAGCCGACAAUCAAACAAGAACAUGAAAAAAAAUACCUAGUCGAUGUCCCUUAUCAAACCCUUUAUUAUAAAUUCUUUUACAAAAACAUUUUGUGAAAAUUCUCGGAUCCUAGUUUGAGUCUGGAUUUACACAAGUGUUCCUCCAAUUCACUCAAAAUAGGGCUCUUAUACCAACUUGUAACGUCCCAUUUUCACAACCAAAAAAUUUCAUUUUAUAAAAGUAAAACUACCCAAUUAUAACUCUAUUAUGAAGAACUCCAUUUAUUCCAAAAUACAUUUAUUGAAAAUCAGAGUAAUAUUAAAGCAUAGAAUCUUCAUUGUUGUUGAUGAAUGUGUACAGUCAUGCCUUCUCCUUCCCAUGAUAACUGAGGAUACCUGAAACAAUAAACAAUUGGGUAAACACAAAGCUUAGUGACUUUCCCCCAAACUACCCCAUACGGUAAACAUACAAGCAUGCAUAAUGGCCCACAAUCAUUGGAUUAGAAUGCUCAGACCCCAUCUGUCAUCGGAGUGGAAUGCCAACAUGCAAUGGGUCCAACCAGUCAUCAGACUAGAAUACCCAUGGUUACUUGGCCUACUGCCUUAAUGCAACCACUCAUCUCGAGCCUUCGUGCUUACGGCUUACAUCUGGCCCACACUGGAUAUCUUGGCCUACAACACAAAGCAGGACCACCUCAACCCACUACCACCAUAUGUCGACAUAUAAACAAUCAAAUAUCAAGUAGGCAUAUAAUAUAGGCAAACAUCAAUCAUGCAGCCCACUAUCGCCUACUAGUCCUCUCACAGCACACUGUUAGCUAUGAGAUAUCCUCCAUGAAAUGCGUAACCAUAAGUAAUCAGAGGUGAGAUAGUCACUCGAAUAGAUGAUCCUACUCUAGAGCCACAACCAAACGAGGAACAUGCAAGAAAGCCUAGAUCAAGAGUUAUCAGGCUAUCUUACAUGACUACAUACAACCCCAAGAGCACUCCAAUAGAUGAUGACUAGCAAGUAUAUGUAGACAUACAGAUCUACAGAUCGCUACCGUAUAGCAACAUCCUAUAUACCAGAUAUGGAUCUAACAGAUCACUACAGCAUAUCAACAUCUUAUAUACAAGGAUACAAAUCUAACAAAUCGCUACCGUAUAGCAACAUCCUAUAUACCAGAUAUGGAUCUAACAGAUCACUACAGCAUAUCAACAUCUUAUAUACAAGGAUACAAAUCUAACAGAUCACCACAACAUAACAACAUCCUAUAUACCUGGAUACAAAUCUAACAAAUCACUAUAGCAUAACAACAUUUUAUAUACUAGGAUACAAAUCUAACAAAUCACUACAACAUAGCAACAUCCUAAAUACCAGGAUACAGAUCUAACAGAUCAUUGCAGCACAAUAACAUUCUAUAUAUCAUGAUACAUAUCUAACAGGUCACUAUAGCACAACAACAUCGUAUACACCAGGAUACCGAUCUAAAAAAUCACUACAACAUAGUAAUAUACUAAAUACCAACAAUCCAAGGAAUGCAUAACCAUAUAUAAUAAGAGGUGAGAUAGACAUCCUGACAGGUGUUCCUACUUUAGAGCCACAACUAAACGAGGAACAAGAAAGAAAUCCUAGAUCAAUAGUCCUCAGUUUAUCCUACAUGACUACAUACAAUCCUUAUGGCAUCCCUCCACUAAAAGAUAACCAAAACUAGUGGGUCGGCAUUGGUGCCUUCAACCCACGGGUACAAUGAGGCAAAACUCACUUGAAUCGAAGAACUCUGAAACACUACGAUAAAAUCCCUUUUUUGCAUUGCUUGCACCCGCAAAUCCGCUAAUUGCCACAAACAAGUAAAAUCUUAAUCACCAGUCAAACCCUCAAGUUUGACCUAAAGUAAAACUUGGUAAAAAAAUUCAAUGGUCAAUAGAAGUCAACAGUCAACAGUUCCUUACAACGUGACCAUUUAUGGCUCACGCCGUGAGCCAGUACAUGAAAAAAAUUUCGGAUCUCAUAAUCCUCACGACGUGAUAGGCAUAGCCUCACGUCGUGAGAUUAGUCUGAAUGCCAUUUUGAUCCAUAAACUUCUUAAUCCAUUAAGCCACUAAUUCAUCUUUUCCAAGAGGCUUCCUAACACCCCCAGGAUCAUAAAAGUUGAUGCUUUAAGGUCUUAUAUGUCCAAUAAUAUACUUGAGUUGAAACUAGGGCAUUCAUGAAGAAAAAGAAGAUCGCGUCUCAAGCAUGAACUCAAACAUCAACCAAACCUUAUACCCAUAACGUAUCAUCACCAAGGGACCCUAAGGAUCCAUAAAGUUGCUAACUUUAUGGAGUCCCAACACUCUAACUCUUGUAGCCAUGGAUAAACAUGCAUAAAACCUUAGAUCUACCAACAUGGAAACAAAGAUAUUGAAUCUUGGUUACUUAUAGUGGUCCAUAGGUGUUUCUAGAGGUUACAAAUGGAACUUCCAAGUUGAAUCUAUGCUUCAAUGGUGAUCUCUUCUUCUUCAAACCGCAAAAACUCCACCAAAAGCUCAAGAAUCACAAGGAAAGGCUAGGGUUAGGGGUUUUUUGUGCUUAAGGAUGAAUGUGACUAUUUUGGAACCCUGAAAUGAAGUUAUGGGAUUUAAAUAAGAAGGAAACCCUAAAAGAUCAUGGGCUUGGGUUGCAGCGCAUCUUACGUUGUGAGCUCUUAUUUCUCACGUCAUGAGCUCGUCAUAAUUCAACAUCUUCUUUUAAUGACUCCUCAUGUUGCGAACCCUCUAUGGUUACGUCGUGAUCCUUGGUUUUAUGAAAAAAACAUGUCUUUGACUCCUUGAAGCUCUAAAUCGAUCCGAUCGAGAAACCGGGUGUUAAAAUUUUGAUUAAAGUGCUUCUUUCUAACUCCAUUGGUUGGAUUUUCUUUAUAUUAUGAAGAUUUCUUAUUGAUAACCUAGACUUGCUUCAUAUUCCUUGGUUAUAGAGAUGGAUUCUUUAGAACCCAAAUCAUUUUUUUGUGGUCUUUGCUUUCUUUUAUUUGUUUGAUUUUACCUAUAAGAAGUAUUAUUAAAACAAGAACAUACAUCAUGAAGCUUACCAACAUGAGAUCUUUUGAUGUUUAGGGUUGGCGUUGUAGGUUGACUAUUGACAGGGUGACAUGGAGAGGCAACGUGAACUCUCUUUAUAGUGAGACUCGACUUGUCAUCAUGAACUGACCUGACAUUGUCUGAUGUCUUUACAGCUUGAGAUGGUUUAACAUUGCGAGAGGUGUUGGAAAUGCAAGAUUCCCUUGCAGUGUGAACAACCUUAUCAUGGUGAAUUGUUUUGACAGUAUCUGAUGUCUUGACAGCGUGGAAUUUCUCUACAAUGUGAGAUGAAGCUAAGGGAGUAGAUCAAUUACGAUUUGUAAUGAAUUCUCAAGAAGAUUUUCGAGAAUGAGUAGCUUGUGGUUUCUCAACAUGAAGCUUAUUAGUAUAUGAGUUGUUGUGAUCUUCAUUAGGGUGAAAACUAGGGUUUCUUGAAAACGAGAUUUCAUCAAGUAUUUAUUCUAUUUGAACACUAAUAGAUGAAAAACUUUUCAUCUGAACAUCCGUUUCUUUAAUCUUCUCUUUUAGAGCUAACAUCUCUAUCUCCCUUUCAACCAGAUUCUUCUUCAACACUUCUAUAUCUUCUUGUUUCUGAUUGAUGACUUUGUCUUUCAGAUCCAUUAUAGCUAUGAAGAAAAUAGAUAUAACUACCUUUGGAUCAUACAUCAGUUCAGAAAAAACAUGUUAAAGAACUUGCAUUGACUGCCCUUUUAUUUUUUGUACUUUCCUUGUUUUCUUCGUCAGAAAAAAACAUUUGUAUCUUUCUUGAUCAUUCCAAAUAAAAUAUCUUGUCUCUUCUAAGAGAUAUUAUAAGGUGUUGUAUUAGGUGGCUAAGCUCAUAACUAUAAUUGGUAUGUACUUGACCCGAAAGUAGCAUGGUCCUUUUGGGUUGCCUUCACCAGAAAAAUCUGAUAGGAUGGAUAUUUGAGAAAGAGAUUACUUGUCAUUUUUAAUAUAUUAUAAGUACAAUAUAUUAAUAUGAAAUCAUAUUUAAUUAGUAUUGAUCAAGAAUUAAUUUGGAAUUAAUUUUGUGAUAAAAAAAGACUAAUUAAAUUAACAGGGACUGAUUAUGUAAAUCGGUGAUAUAUAUAUAUANCUAUCAGAACAUGUCUCAUAGUAAGCUUUCCUUUGUCCUUGGCAUGUGGGCCAAGAUUAGGUAUACCAACACUAAUCACCUUUAACCCAUGUGUAAUUGGUUUUUCUUCUUCUUAACACUUCUAUUCACGAUAGUGAAUGGAUUAGGCUUUACCCAUGACUCUUGGAUUCCUACACUAUAUAUAUAUGACACCCCUUAGCCUAAAAUUGAGGACACUAGUAAUCUUGGAGAUACAAUAGCCGAAUUUAAGUGCCUAGAAGCGCUUUCUCAUUAUCCUCCAAUUGUUGGUGGUGUUUGUGACUUAUUAGAGACAUCACACUUGAGGUGUUAAGUUCUCAAAUGCCAAAAUUCAACAAGCUACAACAAGAGGUAAUAUUCUAACUUACUUUAUGAUUUAUAUGCCAAAUUGUACGCUAGUUGUAGGCUUCAUGCUUUGGGAAAUUUUAUUGCAUGUAUAACCAGAGAAAACUUAGAUCCAAAGCAUUUAGGGUUAUAUGUGCGCCAUAGGAUGUUGUAGUACAUCAAAACUAAUAGUGGUAUCUGAGCCAUGGGUUGUUUUAUGUUAUAUUGAUGCAUGCUUAAUUGUUCAAAGCUGGAAAAUUCAGUAAACUGCACUCUGCAAGGGGGACUCGACGAGUCGACUCAUGAACUCGGCGAGUUCAUAGUGAACUCGACGAGUCAGAUAAUUGUAGUUUUUCGAGGUUUUUGGCCAGAAUUGGAUUUGGAUCCUUACCUUAAACUGUUUUGUAUCAUAAAAUAUGUUUUUUUAUAUGGUAAUGGCUAUCCUCAUCCAAUUAAAAGAUAGUUGUCAAAAUUUUAAGAUAAUUGCCCUCAAGUUAUGGAAUAUGAGAAGUCUCAUUCAUGAAAAAAACAUUAACUCUUGUAAUUGAAAGGUUCAAAAGAUGCAACUCUUAGGUUCAUAACUUAAAAAUUAAUUAAACAGUUUUUAAUUUUGAGUUUUUAUAUUUAGAACCUUGAUGCUUUGACUAGUUUAAAUUACACCUUUAUGGAUUUCAUGUAAUUAAUUAAAGUGUAUAAUUAAAAGAGAUUAAUAAAUCCAUAAUCACAUGGUUCAAGUUUAAUUAAAUUAAGAGCAUAGUUUAAUUAUAUUAAACCACAAAGUAUUUUAAAAGUUUAAAAUACACCCUUAUACUAUAUAAAUUUAAAAGUUUAAUAUAUUAUAUAUGCAUUAGUAACAGGUCAGUCUUACCGUUAGUAGACCUCAUUCAUGAAGUCGGUCUAUAAGGGGGUAUAAGGAUACUUCCAAUAAAAUGGUGGUUUAAUGGGUGUCCACUCUCACCUACCGCUUCCUUGAAUGGUGGAGGGUUAUUAGCCAAACGGGUAGGAUAGGACAUUAAUUCUCAUUAAAAGUAUAAUGAUAAUUAUAAAGUAACUAAAUGUUUUAUAAAAUUCCCAAUCUUACUUACUUUAGGAAAAAUGUGAAUUUGGUGUUAAUCCAUGAAAUUGCACUUUGCACCUUGCCAAGUCGUUAGUGGAGCGUGUGUGGUUAACCGACAUACUAACUUGGACUAGUAAGGGUGGCAAAGGGUAGCUCGUAAUUUGUCAUAGAUCAAUGGAGUGUGUGUGGUUAACCGGCACAUUGAUUGGGCGAUAAAUGACAUUGAGAGUACCAAGCUAAUUUGCAUGGUUAUUCACACCUUGUUGGUGAUCCUCGGUAUCCCAGUCACAAACUUGAAGGGCAUAAUUGAGAUUAAACAUUCCAUUGAAAAGUUUAGUGAAUCUCAAAUAAUCUAGGAAUUUCAAUUCAUUUAAAACCUAAUAUUCAAUUUCGUUUUUCGUGAUGGACUUGGUAAAUCGUCAUUUACCUACCUUCAAAUAUUUUACAUUAGAUUACGACAUCCCUCUUUUGAAUUGUAGAAUAUAGUGUUGGGUCAUAGCCUUAAUAUUUAAUUUUGGGUGUCAUAUCAAGGACUUAAAUCAACUUAACUUGAAUUUCUCCCUUGUAGAUGUCUAGUUCAGACAACUAUGGUCUUCCUGAAUCUUAUGGAAAAAGCUUUCCUCAUGAAGAUGAUGUUCCCAUAAAUCAUACUUCACUUCCUCCACCUCCUCCAAUAAUUCUCCCUAACCCACAAUUUCGAAGACUUGAAAAGUUCAAGGUCACUCAAAACCUAUUGGCAAGCAAACACCAAGAUGGAAGGUUUGUGUGUGCACAUGUCUUGGAGAUGAAGCCACACAUUGACAGGCUGGGAAUGUUAGGAGUCGUUUUGUCGAUGAAGUUGGCUGUUGACUUAGUUCUUCAUUCACUUCCCGAGUCGUAGAGUCAGUUCGUUAAAGACUACUAUAUGACAGACCGCGACGUGGCCCUUAUUGAUCUUACCUAUUUUCUAAUUGCUGCUGAAUCAGAAAUGAUUUGGCGCACUAGUCAAGAAAAUUUGAAUUGAAGAUAUACCUGUUGUGUUUAGAGCAUUCUAACACUCCUAAGUGUACAUGAAACCCUAAAUACCUUGGAUCUAUGUUUUCUCUAUUAUACAUGCAAAUAUGAUCUUUCUAAGGUAUUCAUCCUAACUAGCAUAAUAACAUUGAUUCAAAUGAAUAUAUCAAGUUAGAAUUACAUACCUCUUUGAUGUAGAUUGUCUUCAUGAAGCUUGAGUGCCUAGUGCCCCAAGUGUGACACCUCAAAUGGUUCACACAACACCAAAUACACAUGGAAUGACUUGAGAGAAAUUCACACUUCAUGAAAAAUGGCUAGCCCUUCCUAUCACUCAUAGUGGCCGAUUUUCUCCAAGAAUAAGAUGAUUAUAUAGUUAGGGUUACACCAUGUAAACCCUAAUUGUCAUGGCCUUUCAUUUCCAUGAUCCAUGGGUACAAAUACACCAUGGAGCAUCUUAUGGGUUUUAGCCCAACUUGACAAUCCAUGGAGCAUUAGCCCACUAUAUAAGUAUGGAUGAUUUACACAAUCAACCCAUAUAUUUAAUUAGUCUUCUUUUGAUCACUUAAUUAAUCCUAGAUUAAUUCUUGAUCAAUACUAAUUAAAUAAUCUUAUUAUUCUUAUUAUUAAUAUACUAGAACUUAUAAUAUAUUAAUAACCAUAAGUGUCUUAUUUCUCUCAUUAUAGUCUAUCCAAGUGCAUGAUGGUAUGCAACCCAAAUGGACCAUGCCGGGUCGGGUCAAGUCUUACCAAUUAUAGUUAUGGACUUAGACAUUAAUCCAACAGUCUCCCACUUGGAUAAGUCUAAAACUAUUAUUGCGUAUGACUUCAGGAACCAACUGGCAAUCGUAGCUCUCAAAAGCUUCUGUCGAACUCUGACCUUGUAGAUGAACUCUGACCUUUGUCAAUGACUUGUCCAUUAGAUAAGGGAUCAUAUAUUCCUCCAUUCUAGAUAUCAUAUGGACUGAGACAUGGAUUAUAAUCAUUCUCUCUGUCCAUUUGUUGUUUCCCGAUUUCCGAUUUAUGACGACUGACUAAUUGAACAAAUCAAAUCAGUCCUGGCCCGGCCGAGCACUUCCAUUUGUCAUCAUCAAAUCAUCGAGGGGCCCACAGAUAUCGCUUUUAUCCCGAAGGUAAAAGGAAUGGAUAAACUUCGACUCAUAUGGCUUGUUCUACUACUUGUUGAAUCAUACACAAAGGCACGUUUUAUAGCACCGAGUUACCAAAUGCGUUUUCGUGCAAUCAAUGUACUAUCAACUCAUAGUAACAACUCAUAUCUCUAGGUUUGAAGAAUAUAAGAUAUUAUCGUCUCAUGAUCACUCGUGAUAAAAUCCAUGAAGUGAUUCCAAUGAGCGCGGGUUGAAUCCAAUACUCAGAACUUAUGAGCACUCAUGAGUGUUGUAGCCCUUUGUCCAACACCUUAGACCUCUACAAGCCAACCCAUGACAGUCUUAAUUCAUAUCUACUUCCAACAUAUGACCGACUGUGGAUGGUUUGAAUAACUUAGUCAUUCCGGGAGAACUGGAAGUCAAAACAUGCAAAAUGGAACACAAUAAUAAUUGAAUCAUAAUAAUUGAAUCCAAUAUGGUAUCAACCCUUUGAACAUAAAUAAAACACCUUUUAUUUAUCACCAUAUGAUUACACAUUAUUCAUUGUAUACUGUUUCAGCUAUCAACUUUAUUCUUGAAUUUAAAACAAUAGUUGUCCCAUGCUCCAAGCAUGUACACUAUGUUUUCUUAAACACUAGUCAUGCCACACACCAAGUAUGCAUACUAUGUUUGUCUAUGAUCUUUACUUUGUGAACUAGAUCAAUUGAACAUAACUUCAAUGAUUCUCUUUUCACACUCCCAAAUCCUUACUGCAAAUGCAAGAAUUCCAAAUUCAUGCCAUUUACUGAAAUCUGUUAGAUUCUAAACUUAUAUGCAUUGAUCCUCUUGUAAUGAUUAUGCACAAAGUCACAAAGACUUGGCAACAAUCAUUACAGAGUAUUCCAAAGGAGAUCAACUCCUUGGAAAUAUCCUUCUUGCAUUAAGUUUCCUUAAUCUUACACAGAUUGAAAAUUCUAACUUUGAAACAUUUCCAGAUUCCAUUUUGACUAUCACUUCUGAACAAGAGUUGCGUCCUUACAGAUUAUGUUAGUGUGGUCCUUCUAGAGUUAUCACUAUACUUCCAACUGUCCUUGAGCAGCCAAUCUUUGGUAAACCUCAGAUUGUUCUCGACAAUUGUUUAAUCCUUUAAGUCAUAUCCAGUUCUAAACAUUUUCCCUUCUUAAUGCCCCAGGCAUUUGGAAAAUUUUAGAACGGAUGAAUAUAGCACAUGUAAUCGAUCCUAUAUCCGAAGCAUAUGGGACACGAUUCAUGAUGUCUCACAUAAAGACUAAACCAGUCUUUUGCUAUAAUAUUUCCAUUUCAAUUUGCCAAGUUCUCAUAAUUCAGAUUAUGAAAAGGGAUGCCGUAAUCAUAAUCGAAUUUUAGAACGCAAAUAAUGGACCCAUAUACAGAAUUUCCUUAUGUUGAGCCAUUCCAACAUGAAAUUCAUAUAUAUCCUUGACUAAAUGAUUAAAACCUCACGAUCUAAGCUUAUAGAUUUGAGAUGAAGCAUAAUUUCCUCUCCCUUAAUUAUAGCAAAACAACUUUUUCCCAAUUGAAACUUUUGUUUUCUAUAAUUAACAUUGCUAACUUGCAAUACUUAUCAUAAUUAUCAUGCUCCCACUAACAUGAUGAUUAUUAGCAUAACACUUAUGCUCCCACUAGCUUUGACAUGUACUCAGAAAUCAGCUGGACUUCUAGAAAUCAAUACUUCAUUGACUUUCUUACCAAAGUUCAGAUUUCUGAUACUAGAUUGUUUUGAUAAAACUUUAUCAAAAUCAUACACCUUCCCUUAGAUAGCACACUUGUGUGUCUAAACAAUUAUGAAGAGGUAUGCCGUAAUCAUAAUGGUUAGACCUUUUUGCCACUUCUCACAAGUCCAUGUUAGUGUGCCGGUUAACCACACGCGCUCUACUAACGACUUUGAGAGUGCAAAUAUCAUACUUGCUAUCUAGCUAAAAUCUACUUAGUGAAAGUGUUUCCUCACCAUCAUUUUCAUGAAUCGGAGAGAAACCUUAUGCCACUUAGAUUUAAUGGUGUAAGUGUUCUUAUCCAUGUGAAUUGUCAAAACCAUAGUCACAAGACAAGGAUAAUGACAAAUCCAAACUCAUAUGGACUGAACUCAAUCUUAAUUUCUUGCCACCUGGCAGCUCAAGGGCCUGCCAUUGCUUCCAAGUUGUUGUGCAACUAAUUGAGAACUCUAAGAACUCAUAUGCAAAGCCAACUUUAACUGGAAUGGGCACAGAAUAUGUCAACACGAUAGGUUAUAAACCUCAAGUCGUGUGCUAGUGAAGAACUUCAGGUUUUAUUCUUGAUUAGUUCUUGAGACUUUCAAGACCUUUAAGACUCCCACUGUCCUCUUGACCUAUAAGACUCCCUUGUCAAAUAUCCAAGAGAUAGUGUGGAUUCUAAUCAAGACAAACACUUCACACAAUUGGCCUAAGUUGGUCUUUGUUUUAUCCAAAACAUCACAACUUACCAAUUUCAAAUGUACAAGAGUAGAAAACUUUUACUCUUACAUUUGACAAGUGUUUUAAACCUUCUUUAAGACAUGUCACUCAAGUUACAAUCUUGGAGUAUGACUCUAAGACUUGUAUUGGAACGAAGUAUGACUCAUCUUCUUGAUUUAACCACUUCAAAAAUCCAUAGCUCCUCUUCUUAGCUAUCAGAAUGCACUUACACGAUGAAUUGUGAUAAGGUCUCUAAAUCAUUAAGAUGAUCAUAAAAACUGAUACUAAAGUACUCUCCCAUCUUUUCAAAUUUGAGAAACUUUUAUCUUUCUGCCUAAUUUGACUCUUCUUAUUCGUUCUGUCUUACAUUGAAACUUUUCCAAUGUUUCAGAAUUAUACUUAAACUUGUAAGUAUAACCAUAUUUACUUAACUUAAGUAAAUCAUGACGAAUAGUCUUAUCGAUCUUUUGUGGUGGACUUAAUCAGUGCACAAGAAUGUGUAUGUAAUACCCUGUCUAUUUAUUAAAUAAAUAAAUAAAUAAAUGAACAAAUGGUAGCCCUAAAAUAAAUAAUUACAUAUCAAAGGAUGGUCUCGAGGAGCUAAUUGUCACAAGUUUAGAAGAUGGAGGUUAAAAGUGUAAAAUAUGGAUUUAAUUUGUAAGUAUUAAUGAAGUCAAGGACUAAAUUGUAACUUCUUGACUUCAUUUUAAGGGAUUUUAGAGGCUUAGGGGUUGUAUUGUAAAUUAGGGGCUUUAUUUUGUAAGGAAUUAUGGAAGGGAUGGCUAAAGGGUAACUUUUGGAUUUAAAUUGAAAAGGAUAUGGUAAGGAGGGACUAGAGGUGACAAAUUUGUAGAAAGUUUGGAUGGGAUAUAGGACUUUAAACNNNNNNNNNNNNNNNNNNNNNNNNNNNNNNNNNNNNNNNNNNNNNNNNNNNNNNNNNNNNNNNNNNNNNNNNNNNNNNNNNNNNNNNNNNNNNNNNNNNNNNNNNNNNNNNNNNNNNNNNNNNNNNNNNNNNNNNNNNNNNNNNNNNNNNNNNNNNNNNNNNNNNNNNNNNNNNNNNNNNNNNNNNNNNNNNNNNNNNNNNNNNNNNNNNNNNNNNNNNNNNNNNNNNNNNNNNNNNNNNNNNNNNNNNNNNNNNNNNNNNNNNNNNNNNNNNNNNNNNNNNNNNNNNNNNNNNNNNNNNNNNNNNNNNNNNNNNNNNNNNNNNNNNNNNNNNNNNNNNNNNNNNNNNNNNNNNNNNNNNNNNNNNNNNNNNNNNNNNNNNNNNNNNNNNNNNNNNNNNNNNNNNNNNNNNNNNNNNNNNNNNNNNNNNNNNNNNNNNNNNNNNNNNNNNNNNNNNNNNNNAAGUUUUAGGAAGUUGAUCUUAGCAAAUAGAUAAGAUCAUUAAGGGUCUUUUCAUAGUCUGUUUCAUAGGAGUCCCAAAGUAACUCACUAUGUGACUUAGAAAGUAGUUGAGCCACCAACGUUUUAGAGACUUUGACACCCAACUCUCUCGGCUUUUCAAUAUGUGACUACAUCUCCAAGAUGUGAUCACACAUAGACCUUUGAUUGCCAAUAGGGCUUGAGUGACCUUAAACUUUUCAAAAACUUGUGGGUUAUGGAGAAAAAUUGGAGGAGGUGAAAGAAGUAUGAUUUCCAUGGGAUAUCAUCUUCAUUUAGGAAAACUUGUUUCAAGAGAUUUGGGAAGAUCAUAGAUGUCUAAACCAGACAUCUUUUGGGAGAUAUUCAAGAUAGUUGAUUUAAAGUCCUUAAUAUAACACCCAAUAUGAAAUAUUAAGGCUAGGACCCAACACAAUACUUGUAUAACUUGGAAGAGGGAUGUCGUAAUCCAAGCUAUAAAAUAUUUGAAGGUAGGUGAAUGACGAUGUUUCAUUCUAGAAAACGAAAUGUAUUAUUAGGUUUUAAUUGGAUUUGAAACUCCUAGAUCUUUGAGAUUCAUUGAACUUUUCAAUGGCAUGUUUCAAUCUCGAGUGUGCCCUUCAGGUUUUGUGACUGGGAUGCCGAGGAUCACAAAACAAGGUGUGAAGUAACCAUGCAAAUAUACUGGGUACCCUUAAUAUUUACCCCUUAAUCGAUGUGCCGGUUAACCACACACGCUCCACCGAUACUAUGAUAAAUAUUAAGUUACCCUUUGCCUACCUUGUU
rnacentral:lncRNA from 1 species